GGUAACGAAACAAAAAACGCCUCAAUUUUCCGAUAUCUGCCUGAUGAAGGUUUAUCCCAUAAGUAUCAGGUCUUCUACAAAGAUGAUGAGAACAAUGUUAGUUCUGCUCACCAUGCAGCUAUUUUCGUAUAUAAAUCUAUAAUGGCCACUUACG